GCUAACUCAAGGAGCAAACUGAGAAAUGACCUGCUGACCUAUUGUUUGAUUGAAAGAGAAAGAGAAGAGAGGGGAGAGAGAGAAGGAGAGAGAAAAGGGGGAAGAAAGAGAGAGGGGGAGAAAGGGAGAGAGAGAGUGAGGGGAGAGAAAGGGGGACAGAGAGAGAGACAGAGAGAGAGAGACAGAAAGACAGAGAGAGAGAUCAAUUGAUCAAUUGAUUCAUCAGUCAAUCUUUGCAAGAGACAACACCAGAUAGUUACUAGGUGUCAUUUAUGUGCUGAGAUUACUGUGCUGGGUGUUUAGGAGGUAACUAUAGCAUGCAAGUCAGGCAGGGUCCCUGUCUAUAUGGCUCAGAACAGUCUCAUAGAGGAUUAUGACAACAAACACAGGUAAAGCCUCUGGGCUUUGUUAGGACAGGAAGCAGAGAGACCCUGUGGGUCCUCCUCCCUUACUCUUGUAGAAGGAGGCUGAGGGGCAGAGAUAGCUGAAAUCUCAUGGAAAAAAUCUUUUAGAAAUAGUGUAUGAAAGAGGGCAAACACAGAAUGGUUCUGGAAACUGUAGAAUCCUUAGCUCAGGCUGAGAAAUAGUAGAAAGUAGGAUUUUGAUGCCAAGUUAAAAUAGAGGGUAAGUUGAAAGAAUUGGCAAUCUAUCAAGAGUCUGUGAAGAUGAAAGCCAAGAUGAGCAGCUAGAGGAACAGUAGAAACCUCCAAGAAUAAAGAGUGAAGAAGGUUGGAGCUGGAACAUUAAAGAUCAUGUAUUCCAUCCCCACUCCCAGUUUUGCAACUAAAGGAAAUGAUGGCUUUUGUCUGUAUUCUCCCAAGAGUUCAUCAUUUGGGGUCCAUCCAAUAUGCUCCAGACCAUUCAUGUUUUCCUCUGACAUUGUGAAGGUAACAGCAGAGCACUGUGGCUGUCCAACACCUGUCAUCUCUCAUUAUUGCCAUGGUGAUGAUGGAUCCAAGUGAAUUAAUUGAUUUCACAGAAUUACGGAAUUCCAGCAUCUAA
rnacentral:lncRNA from 1 species